rnacentral:misc_RNA from 1 species
AAGACUAUAGACCUGCGGAGUACCUGCGGAAGGAUCAUUAUCGUAUUGUAACAAUUGGGGGGGCCACCGUGGACUGUCGCUGACCCUUUGAAAGGGGGGUCGUGCACGCCCCCAUAGUGUCAUCCUCAUACAAUCCAACUCACCUCUGUGCAUCACCGCGUGGGUUCCUUUCUGGGUCGAGUCAGACUGGCUCAGAAAAAAGGGGCUUGCGUUUUCCAUACAAAUACCCUUAUAAAUCCA